GGCGGAGUAGCUCAGCGGUAGAGCAGGGGACUCAUAAGCCCUUGGUCGGUGGUUCGAAUCCGCCCUCCGCUACCA
rnacentral:tRNA from 1 species